UCCGGCUGGAACCAUGGAGGGUGUAGAAGAGAAGAAGAAGGAGGUUCCUGCUGUGCCAGAAACCCUUAAGAAAAAGCGAAGGAAUUUCGCAGAGCUGAAGAUCAAGCGCCUGAGAAAGAAGUUUGCCCAAAAGAUGCUUCGAAAGGCAAGGAGGAAGCUUAUCUAUGAAAAAGCAAAGCACUAUCACAGGGAAUAUAGGCAGAUGUACAGAACUGAAAUUCGAAUGGCGAGGAUGGCAAGAAAAGCUGGCAACUUCUAUGUACCUGCAGAACCCAAAUUGGCGUUUGUCAUCAGAAUCAGAGGUAUCAAUGGAGUGAGCCCAAAGGUUCGAAAGGUGUUGCAGCUUCUUCGCCUUCGUCAAAUCUUCAAUGGAACCUUUGUAAAGCUCAACAAGGCUUCGAUUAACAUGCUGAGGAUUGUAGAGCCAUAUAUUGCAUGGGGGUAAGUCUCUUUUCUCCUUUGAUUUCUAUUUGAUAAAUUGGUUAUGUAGCAACAUGAAUUUUAGAUGUUUUAACAGUGGUCACCUUAUUUUUGUUUGCUUUUUCACUUCAGGUACCCCAAUCUGAAGUCAGUAAAUGAACUAAUCUACAAGCGUGGUUAUGGCAAAAUCAAUAAGAAGCGAAUUGCUUUGACAGAUAACGCUUUGAUUGCUCGAUCUCUUGGUAAAUACGGCAUCAUCUGCAUGGAGGAUUUGAUUCAUGAGAUCUAUACUGUUGGAAAACGCUUCAAAGAGGCAAAUAACUUCCUGUGGCCCUUCAAAUUGUCUUCUCCACGAGGUGGAAUGAAGAAAAAGACCACCCAUUUUGUAGAAGGUGGAGAUGCUGGCAACAGGGAGGACCAGAUCAACAGGCUUAUUAGAAGAAUGAACUAAGGUGAGAGACCUCAUCCUGAGAAAGGUUGAGUUAAUGUUAAGAGUAUAAGUGGUGGUAAUCUUGAAUACUUUUCCCAUUAAAUAUUGAUGGGGGUUUGAAUUUUAAUCAGUGCUUUUGUGGGGAGUGGGGGUCAACUAUCUUAAUGAUUACAGUUGGUUUGUUUACUGCUUUUGAGGACCUUUCUGGAGGAAAGGAAAAGCCUGUUUUGGGGAGUCUUUAAAGAUGGAAAUUGGGUGGUCUUAAAAAUGUAAACUCAAUCAUUACUUUAUAACUGCCUAGUUUAUGUUAAUUGUUAGCUGCCU
rnacentral:lncRNA from 1 species